CUCUAGACGUUACAGAGAACCCCGAACAACCCAAACUGUUAAUCUUUAAUACCGCUUUGUACUUACGAUCUUGUAUCCACUGACUGUCUUGUUAGAUUAAUCCAAUAAAUUUCAUUCACUCUGCAUACUCAAUCCUAUAGACACCCUUUUAAUCCUUCAAUCACAGACGUAACUCGAUUUCACAAAACAGUCAAGAGUAUUCAAACCUACUUCAUUAAAAAUCUCGAUUCACCAUUACAAUACUGACUUCUGCAGCGAUU
rnacentral:lncRNA from 1 species